rnacentral:sRNA from 1 species
AAGGAAACUGCCGAAGACAGUAGGUGCCGUAAGGCAUAAGGAUCAAAACGCCUACCGAGGAGUAAAGAUUUCGUAAGAAUGAUUUAUGAAACCUCUCUGUGUCUUGCAGAGGGGUUUUUAC